rnacentral:lncRNA from 1 species
CAGAUUCCAAUAUUGAAUGAAAACAUAGUCGUACGCCCCUUUAGAACUUUCGAAGACAACCUCUUCGAAUUCUUUAGAAGUCUUAUAUAACUCAAUUGCCCUUGCCACCUUAUCUUGCUCCUAUUUGAGCUACAUUUUAAGCGCUUCAAUGGCUUUUCCAUGAGGUUCAUUGGCCUUCUCCAUCUCUUUAAGCCUCGACUUUAGUUCUUUAUUCUCCUCGGUUUAGGUGUAUAGCUCGAAAAUCUUCUUCUCUUAUUCAUUAUAUUUUCGCUGA